CUUGAGACAGAAGCACUACUUCUCUCUUCUUAAUUUCCUCCACCCUUUCCUCCUUCUCUUUCAGAAGGCUUUUGAUCUUCUCCUCUAGCUCAGCUAUGGUCUCAGCCUGCAGGUUCACACUCACAUUCUGAGCAGUGCUUUCUAAAUGUUGGUCCAGAUCUGUCUGGAGUUUGGAGAUCAUCUCAUCCUUCUGUCUACACAUUUCAAUGUGUUCCAAUUCCUUUUGCCUUUGACUGUCCAGUGUCUACAAGCAGCAGAACAAGCCACAACACCAAUAAUGUAUAAAGGAGUAACAUGAUCCAAAUAAGAAUGGUUUUCGAUGACUGACCAUAGGAACCGGGCAUAAAUGUGAUGAAUCUCUUGUUUGACCUCAUCUGGACAAAGCCAAACCUCACCUCAUAAACCUUUUUAUCUACCACCACGGUCUCUUUAUUCUCUUCCUCAAC